rnacentral:rRNA from 1 species
AGUGAACGCUGGCGGUAGGCCUAACACAUGCAAGUCGAACGGCAGCACAGUAAGAGCUUGCUCUUACGGGUGGCGAGUGGCGGACGGGUGAGGAAUACAUCGGAAUCUACUUUUUCGUGGGGGAUAACGUAGGGAAACUUACGCGAAUACCGCAUACGACCUACGGGUGAAAGCAUGGGAUCUUCGGACCUUGCGCGAUUGAAUGAGCCGAUGUCGGAUUAGCUAGUUGGCGGGGUAAAGGCCCACCAAGGCGACGAUCCGUAACUGGUCUGAGAGGAUGAUCAGCCAGACUGGAACUGAGACACGGUCCAGACUCCUACGCGAGGCAGCAGUGGGGAAUAUUGGACAAUGGGCGCAAGCCUGAUCCAGCCAUACCGCGUGGGUGAAGAAGGCCUUCGGGUUGCAAAGCCCUUUUGUUGGGAAAGAAAAGCAGCAGGUUAAUACCCCGCUGUUCUGACGGUACCCAAAGAAUAAGCACCGGCUAACUUCGUG